rnacentral:rRNA from 1 species
UACGUAGGGGGCAAGCGUUGUCCGGAAUCAUUGGGCGUAAAGAGCGUGUAGGCGGCCCGAUAAGUCCGCCGUGAAAGUCCAGGGCUCAACCCUGGAAUGCCGGUGGAAACUGUCGGGCUGGAGUCCGGAAGAGGCGAGUGGAAUUCCUGGUGUAGCGGUGAAAUGCGCAGAGAUCCGGAGGAACACCAGUGGCGUAGGCGGCCGGCUGGACCUGUCCUGACGCUGAGGCGCGAAGGCGUGGGGAGCGAACGGG